UGACGUCAGUCUUUUUCUCACCCACCUUCGCCACCGCCAAAUUCACUCAUUCACUUCCCCUUUAAAAGUAGCGAGUGGAAAGCGACGACAUUUGCAGAAUGGAUACAUUCCGCUGAGGAUACUUCAGCGGCGCCUCCGAAGGUUCCAUUUCGGAACGUAAUGUAGCAAAAGAGCGAGCUGCGUGUUCCGUCAACAAUGGGGAAACUGAUCAGCCCUCCCUCGGGGAACAAUGUAAAUCGCUCGCUCGCCUCUUUGGCGACGUUUGUUCUGGCCUCCGGGCUGCCACACCACCGCAAGGCGAGUCAGCCCUUCGCAUCGCCUGGACACAGCGAAGGAGAAACGCUGCUUCGCCACAACAAGCGAGCAUCGUAUAUAAACUGAAUGUCCCACUCACCAUCUGCUCCACCUACCACCUGAGAAAGGAGACUCUGGGCCAUCUACAGUACUCACUUACACAAUUCCAGUUAGGAGGACGAAUGGACGAGCUCCCAUGAGUACUGCUACUGAGCCAAUAAGCAAUAAAGAGGGGUACUGGAUGACAGGGAAAACCAAAUUUCUACACGUGGGCCACCAUAUAACACCUUCACUCAUUGUAACGUCUUAAGGUGGGUAAAAUUCAGCUGAUUAUCGUGAACUAUUUCCCCCAAGUUCUCAGUUGAUACAGUUUCAAAAUCAAGCAAAUCACUUUUUGAUUGUGAAUAAAAGUAGUUGCACUCUCAA